CAAUAAAUAAAAAUAUUUCCUACGGAAAUAUGGUUUUUUAUGUCAAGCCUGAAUUAUAGUGAUAAGAUAAAAGUAGGAAAUAGUUAGAUUGGAUUGUGGCAGAUUAAGGUGGGACUUGGCGGAGAAGGAAAUUCCGGUGCUUUUACCUACGUAAGAAACAUUAAGUCAAGGCCAAAUUUUAGCUACUAAAAGCAAAGCAAAGUUAUUCACUUCUCAAUUCAACCUUUCUCGUGAUCGAGUGAAGACAUACGAAUUUUCUUUGACGUUUUGGACUUCUUUCUUUUACCUUUAUACAGGUGAGAUUUUCAAUUAUUAUUGUUCUUAUAUUAUUCUUAUAUUUUGAUACUUUUAAUUUGGGUAUUAUGGAAUUGUCACGCCCAAAAGUUCUUGUUUUUGGACACUCGUUUGUCAAACGUCUCCAUCGCGAUUUUCGCUCUAAUUUCGACGUCCGUGCGGCCAUUAGUUUUAAUAUAAAAAGGGCCUCCGUCAAAUUGCAUGGAAUUGGGGGACGCACCGUAGACAAGUUGACCGCGUUCGAUUUAGAUAAAGUUCGCUCAUUUCGGCCUGCCAUUGUAAUUUUGGAAGUGGGUAGUAAUGACCUUAGCCAUAGCAAACCCGAAGUAGUGGGUUCCAAAAUCGAUGACCUCGUUCAUCUUUUACUUCAGCUCCCUUAUGUUCAGAUAGUAGGGGUUUGCCUAAUUACACAUCGGGCAGCUUCCCCGGAGUUCAACAGGCAGGCGUUUAUUUUGAACCAAUAUUUAGAGGUCGUUCUGGACGGUGUUCCCAACGUUUUUUGCUGGAGUCAUAAGGGAUUCUUACAGCGCGUAAAAUCUCCGUUUCUACCAGACGGUGUUCAUUUCAAUCGCAGAGCGCAAUACACGCUGUAUCGCAGUUAUCGCGGUGCUAUUCUUAAAGCUUUAGCAAGCCUUCCUAGUUGUUAGUCUGUUAUCUUCGG